rnacentral:rRNA from 1 species
GAUGAACGCUGGCGGCGUGCCUAAUACAUGCAAGUCGAACGCUUCACUUCGGUGAAGAGUGGCGAACGGGUGAGUAAUACAUAAGUAACCUGGCAUCUACAGGGGGAUAACUGAUGGAAACGUCAGCUGAGACCGCAUAGGUGUAGAGAUCGCAUGAACUCUAUAUGAAAAGUGCUACGGGACUGGUAGAUGAUGGACUUAUGGCGCAUUAGCUUGUUGGUAGGGUAACGGCCUACCAAGGCGACGAUGCGUAGCCGACCUGAGAGGGUGACCGGCCACACUGGGACUGAGACACGGCCCAGACUCCUACGGGAGGCAGCAGUAGGGAAUUUUCGGCAAUGGGGGAAACCCUGACCGAGCAACGCCGCGUGAAGGAAGAAGUAAUUCGUUAUGUAAACUUCUGUCAUAGAGGAAGAACGGUGGGUAUAGGGAAUGAUAUCCAAGUGACGGUACUCUAUAAGAAAGCCACGGCUAACUACGUG